rnacentral:rRNA from 1 species
GAUGAACGCUGGCGGCGUGCCUAAUACAUGCAAGUCGAGCGAACAGACGAGGAGCUUGCUCCUCUGACGUUAGCGGCGGACGGGUGAGUAACACGUGGAUAACCUACCUAUAAGACUGGGAUAACUUCGGGAAACCGGAGCUAAUACCGGAUAAUAUAUUGAACCGCAUGGUUCAAUAGUGAAAGACGGUUUUGCUGUCACUUAUAGAUGGAUCCGCGCCGCAUUAGCUAGUUGGUAAGGUAACGGCUUACCAAGGCAACGAUGCGUAGCCGACCUGAGAGGGUGAUCGGCCACACUGGAACUGAGACACGGUCCAGACUCCUACGGGAGGCAGCAGUAGGGAAUCUUCCGCAAUGGGCGAAAGCCUGACGGAGCAACGCCGCGUGAGUGAUGAAGGUCUGCGGAUCGUAAAACUCUGUAUUAGGGAAGAACAAAUGUGUAAGUAACUAUGCACGUCUUGACGGUACCUAAUCAGAAAGCCACGGCUAACUACGUG